ACGAACGCUGGCGGCGUGGAUAAGACAUGCAAGUCGAACGGGAGAAUUGCUAGCUUGCUAAUAAUUCUCUAGUGGCGCACGGGUGAGUAACACGUGAGUAACCUGCCUCUUAGUGGGGGAUAGCCCUGGGAAACCGGGAUUAAUACCGCAUACGAUUGAAAGAUCAAAGCAGCAAUGCGCUAGGAGAUGGGCUCGCGGCCUAUUAGUUAGUUGGUGAGGUAACGGCUCACCAAGGCGAUGACGGGUAGCCGGUCUGAGAGGAUGUCCGGCCACACUGGAACUGAGACACGGUCCAGACACCUACGGGUGGCAGCAGUCGAGAAUCAUUCACAAUGGGGGCAACCCUGAUGGUGCGACGCCGCGUGGGGGAAUGAAGGUCUUCGGAUUGUAAACCCCUGUCAUGUGGGAGCAAAUUAAAAAGAUAGUACCACAAGAGGAAGAGACGGCUAACUCUGUGCCAGCAGCCGCGGUAAUACAGAGGUCUCAAGCGUUGUUCGGAAUCACUGGGCGUAAAGCGUGCGUAGGCUGUUUCGUAAGUCGUGUGUGAAAGGCAGGGGCUCAACCCCUGGAUUGCACAUGAUACUGCGAGACUAGAGUAAUGGAGGGGGAACCGGAAUUCUCGGUGUAGCAGUGAAAUGCGUAGAUAUCGAGAGGAACACUCGUGGCGAAGGCGGGUUCCUGGACAUUAACUGACGCUGAGGCACGAAGGCCAGGGGAGCGAAAGGGAUUAGAUACCCCUGUAGUCCUGGCAGUAAACGGUGCACGCUUGGUGUGCGGGGAAUCGACCCCCUGCGUGCCGGAGCUAACGCGUUAAGCGUGCCGCCUGGGGAGUACGGUCGCAAGAUUAAAACUCAAAGAAAUUGACGGGGACCCGCACAAGCGGUGGAGUAUGUGGCUUAAUUCGAUGCAACGCGAAGAACCUUACCUGGGCUUGACAUGUAAUGAACAACAUGUGAAAGCAUGCGACUCUUCGGAGGCGUUACACAGGUGCUGCAUGGCCGUCGUCAGCUCGUGUCGUGAGAUGUUUGGUUAAGUCCAGCAACGAGCGCAACCCCUGUUGCCAGUUACCAGCACGUCAAGGUGGGGACUCUGGCGAGACUGCCCAGAUCAACUGGGAGGAGGGUGGGGACGACGUCAGGUCAGUAUGGCCCUUAUGCCCAGGGCUGCACACGUACUACAAUGCCCAGUACAGAGGGGGCCGAAGCCGCGAGGCGGGGGAAAUCCUGAAAACUGGGCCCAGUUCGGACUGUAGGCUGCAACCCGCCUACACGAAGCCGGAAUCGCUAGUAAUGGCGCAUCAGCUACGGCGCCGUGAAUACGUUCCCGGGUCUUGUACACACCGCCCGUCACAUCAUGGAAGCCGGUCGCACCCGAAGUAUCUGAAGCCAACCGCAAGGAGGCAGGGUCCUAAGGUGAGACUGGUAACUGGGAUG
rnacentral:rRNA from 1 species